UGCGUAGGUGGUUUCUUAAGUCAGAGGUGAAAGGCUACGGCUCAACCGUAGUAAGCCUUUGAAACUGAGAAACUUGAGUGCAGGAGAGGAGAGUAGAAUUCCUAGUGUAGCGGUGAAAUGCGUAGAUAUUAGGAGGAAUACCAGUUGCGAAGGCGGCUCUCUGGACUGUAACUGACACUGAGGCACGAAAGCGUGGGGAGCAAACA
rnacentral:rRNA from 2 species